UACGAAGGGGGCUAGCGUUGUUCGGAUUUACUGGGCGUAAAGCGCACGUAGGCGGGUCGUUAAGUCGGGGGUGAAAUCCUGGAGCUCAACUCCAGAACUGCCUUCGAUACUGGCGACCUAGAGUCCGGAAGAGGUGAGUGGAACUCCUAGUGUAGAGGUGGAAUUCGUAGAUAUUAGGAAGAACACCAGUGGCGAAGGCGGCUCACUGGUCCGGUACUGACGCUGAGGUGCGAAAGCGUGGGGAG
rnacentral:rRNA from 1 species